CUUGCAGGCAGCAGAAAGCCAUCUCCAACUGGAUCCCUUCGCUGGGGAGACCCUGGGGGUAGCUCACAGAAUGAAGGCAACUGCUGCAGGAACCACGGCCUCAGGGACUGGAACUGGAGACUCAGGGCUUCUGAGGGGAUUCUCCUCUUCUGGUCCAUCUCUGCUUGUUUCUGCUUGACCUUGCCUGUUGGUCUCAUCAUCUCCUUUCAGACUGACCUUCGCCUCCUACGGCAGCCUCAGUGCCCCAAACAAUCCCAGGGGAUUUUCUGAUUGGGCCUGCUUAGAUACUGGAAGCCCAGCACAGCAACUUCAAUGAGGCCACAGUGCGGGAGAAGAGAAAGGGCUUCCUGCUGCCCCUUGAGGCCCAGGGGGAAAUGGAAACAAGAGGCCCUUGGGAGGGCACAAAGCCCCAGGAGCAGAAAUCCCUCCCUAGAUGGAGAAACAGAGACUGGAGAGGUGAAGAACCUUACCCAAGGCCACAGAGGGAGAAACCAGUACAGCUGGCAAAAAAUACAAAAGGGCUUACCGCCUCACUCUUUGUAAAAGCAAAAGACUGGAAACAGCCCAUCAUCAGGGAACUGAUGAAAUAAACUUCAGUGCA